CGAUACGUAUGCUCUCUGAUGCAGUCGAGCGGUAACACAAGGGAGCUUGCUCCUGAGGUGACGAGCGGCGGACGGGUGAGUAAUGCCUAGGUAUCUGCCCAGUCGAGGGGGAUAACAGUUGGAAACGACUGCUAAUACCGCAUACGCCCUACGGGGGAAAGGAGGGGACCUUCGGGCCUUCCGCGAUUGGAUGAACCUAGGUGGGAUUAGCUAGUUGGUGAGGUAAUGGCUCACCAAGGCGACGAUCCCUAGCUGGUCUGAGAGGAUGAUCAGCCACACUGGAACUGAGACACGGUCCAGACUCCUACGGGAGGCAGCAGUGGGGAAUAUUGCACAAUGGGCGAAAGCCUGAUGCAGCCAUGCCGCGUGUGUGAAGAAGGCCUUCGGGUUGUAAAGCACUUUCAGCGAGGAGGAAAGGUUAGUGAUUAAUACUCACUAGCUGUGACGUUACUCGCAGAAGAAGCACCGGCUAACUUCGUGCCAGCAGCCGCGGUAAUACGAGGGGUGCAAGCGUUAAUCGGAAUUACUGGGCGUAAAGCGUACGCAGGCGGUUUGUUAAGCGAGAUGUGAAAGCCCCGGGCUCAACCUGGGAACUGCAUUUCGAACUGGCAAACUAGAGUCUUGUAGAGGGGGGGUAGAAUUUCAGGUGUAGCGGUGAAAUGCGUAGAGAUC
rnacentral:rRNA from 1 species